CCGCCUCCCCCUCCCCCUCUCGGGCGGCCGGGCCCUUCCUCCCUCCCUCACACGCCUCCACCUCUUCCCGAUCUCCUCCUCCCCGAGCCCGGCGCACCGAGCCGGCCGUGCCACCGAGCUGCGGCUCUGGCCCCGGCGCCGCGGGUGCGCUGCGGAUGGGCUUGGGGCGCACCCAGCGAGCAGCGAGAGUCGCGGUGUCCCGGGCGCUCGCUGGCACCGUGGCCGCAGCGGCCGGCCUGGGAGCCAGGAGGGCGAGGCGGCUGCACCUUCGGGGCCAGAUUGGAGUUCGAAGAGUGGCGGGUACCCCAGAAGCUCGGGGCCGGGGCGAUGGCUGCAGCCUCGGGAGGGUAUCGCCGGAUCGAACUCCGGGAAAGGGAAGCAAAGGCAUGGAACCUCCGCACACUGGAUGAGAAUCCAUCUUCCAUUCGAGCUGGGAAUAGACUUUGUGAAAGAUAUUAUGUAAUGGAGUCUCGGGAACCCUGAGACCUCUCCAGCGAAGCUGAAGUGAAUUAAUUAAGUGCUUUAAACGGUCUUGGUGCUGUGUUACGGGAGAGAGUGACUGGAAAGUAACAAAGCUGAAUCUUUCUCCCUGGAGUAAGGCCGAAGACUGGAUUACUACACGCCUAGACGUGACACUACACCCAUAGAUCUCAUGCAUCAUUAAUGCCAUAUGACAUUGCCAUUUUCUUUCUCAGUUCACGGACAAAAGUGGUGGGUUUUCAUUGUCUUCACUGAUUGUCAAUGCAUUAAUAAAGAAGAUGUGUGGUACAUAGUCUUUGUGAUAAAUCAGGUAAAGAAGCAACGGAAGUGAUGCAAAAUGCACGGUGUGGAGAUGGUUUCUCUUCAGUGGUUGUCAGAAAAGGUUUUCGUAAUGAUGGCUCUGUCAUUGAUGGGAUAUGAAGUAGUAAUCCGCUCCGUAGUGACCUACCAUUCACAAGAUGGGUACCAGGUGAAUAACAUUAAUUAAUUGACAAAAAGUGACUGUGGUCAAUGGGGGAAAAAAUCGAUCCCGUGGCAGGUGUGACGUGGGAAUGGCUGGCCCACCCUCUGAUCCAAGAUGGUCUGGCUGCAGGAAGGUGGCAGCCAAGUGGAUUCUGAAAAUCGUGACUAAUGAACCGAAAGUUAAUAGCUGGCAGUGCAAGGAAAGAGGAAACAAAGCUACCUUUGAAAUGUUAUGUUUGUGGAACAAAUUCAUACUUACGAUAAAUAUUUUAGUUUAACCACUCUGUCUAAUCCUGAACCCAAAAGCCAGAGUUACCAGUGGACUAUUCCCCCAUGAUGGGCAUCAGCAAACUAAACAUUUCUCCUAUCAUAUUUCUUUGUCCAAGGAGAGGAAGAGGCUCAUUAAUUAUCAUUGAUUAUUAUAGGGCCAUGAGGAAGAUGUUCAACCGUGGAAAAGGGGAGAGAGCAUUGCAUUUUCUAGACGGGUUUAAAGAGUUGUUGCAAUGAAAUGAUUCCUGUAGUUGGGUGGGAAGUCCGAUUAGAUGAUCUCCAAAGGCCCUCAUACCCUGUGGGUCCAUAAUAAGUGUUAAGUGGCAAAAUCGUUUAAAAUAUGCUAGGUUUUCUAUUAGAAAAACCGAAGAGACUGGGCGUGGUGGCUCAUGCCUAUAAUCCCAGCACUUUGGGAGGCCAAGGUGGGCAGAUCACUUGAGGUAAGGAAUUCGAGACCAGCCUGGCCAACAUGGUGAAACAUGGUGAAACCCUGUCUCUAUCAAAAAUACAAAAAUUAGCCGGGUGUGGUAGCGCAUGCCUGUAAUCCCAGCUACUCAGGAGGCUGAGGCAGGAGAAUCACUUGAACCCAGGAGGUGAAGGUUGCAGUGAGCC
rnacentral:lncRNA from 1 species